UCUUAGCCCUGAUUGAGUGGCGUGUUUGAGCUCUUUUUUGUUUUUCUCAAAAAAAGCGAGUAACGAAAGCAGGAAAUAGC
rnacentral:misc_RNA from 1 species